rnacentral:lncRNA from 1 species
AACUUGGCUUAAACUAAAGCUACAGAAUCCCUUCCUCCCCAGUAGUUCAUACAGGGGUUCGGAAGUGGUUGAGAUACAUCCCAGGAUUUGGAGAGUGGCAUUAGAGAGGAUGGGCACAGGUAUCAACUGCGUCCUGCCAAAGAGCAGAAUCCCACAAAGUCUGAGUGUCAAGAGGUGAGAAGACACCAGGCCAACCACCUACCCAGGUCUUCUGCUGUGACUCACUCUGGUAUUAGCAGUUAGGGCUCAGUUUCUCAACCUGUUAAUAGGGAUAAUAGCAGCCAGUACCAGAGAAUGAAUAUACAGAGCACUUUAAAAUCCUCAGAUAAGGAUUUUAAACCUUUUAAACCUAAACCCAGGGAUCCCUCCAGUCUUUGCCUCAGUUUCCUUAUCUGUAAAAUGAAGAUAUUGCCUCUCGUAGAGGCUUAUUGUGCAGAUGAGACUCAAAGCAUUUUGCAGAAUGCCUAAAUCUUAGUAAAUGUCACACUUGGGCUGCUACUGUUUAAACUCUCCCAUGGGGCAUAGGGCCAUAGGGCCAGUCUGUUCUUUUCCAGAAAGGGAAAACUGCUUGCCAUUCCAUCAAGCGGUGCUUCUCUGCUUCUUUUCCUGAAUUUGCUUCAAAUCCCAUAUCCUCCAUUUAUCUUACAUUUCUGUAAGACUCUCAAGCAAGGAAGUGAGCGUCAAAGGGAGAGGCAGCUGGCGGUCAGAUAAACUUGUGUUGGGGUUCAUUCCUGGGCUGUGUUCUUGGUAAACUCGAGUGGUGAGUCAGCCUAUGGUUCAGCGAAGGCUGUCCAGACCUGAAGUGGCUGAGGUCUGUCUCUGGGGGCCUGCAUCUGAAAGAGUUUUUGCUCACAUUCCCCAAGGCACCCACCACUGUCAGCACUUUGCUUUUCUGACUGCAGAGCGUUCCCAGGAAGAAAAAACUUAGAAGUUACUUAGUCAGGGAUCUCCCACUACACCCCCAUUUCAAAUUCGUGCUCCUGGGAGUAAAACCAGUGAGGUUUUCCCCCCAGUCCUGACAUCAUUCAUUCACUCAGCAAGCAUCACAGUAAUACCGGACAUCAGGCACCAACAGUGGUUUCUCCUUCUAGCUGCUCCGAAGAUCCUGGAGGAGGGUCAGUGUUGAUGCUGCCAGAUUGGGGGGUGGGGGUGGUGGCAGGCUAUGAGGUCCCCAGGUGCCAAGCUUCCUGUCUCCCUCUGUGGCAGCCCCUGGGGCCUUUGGAGAAACAGGGAGGUGGAGGAGACAACCAGGCCAAGUCCCCAGGCAUCCUGAGUGCCACAGGGAUGUGGGUCACCUAAGAUGAGUCAGAGUCCCUAAGAUGCAGGAGCAAAGGGGAGCCCUGGCCUUAUGACCCAUACCAACGCAGAUAAGCAUGUCCUUUAGGGAGCACGACCAUGUAUGUGACCACCAUGCCCGUCGUUACCGCCCGUGAGAGACUUGGGGUUCAAACCCGGGCCCUCUGAUUCCGGAGUCUGGCCCCUUCGCUGCUAUACACUAAGCCUCGGCCAAGUGUUAAGCUCUCCUGAGCUGAAGCGCCUUGGGCUGUUUGUUUCUGGGUGGCCUUGGGGCGGAGUAUGUCCCCGGGACGUUGGCAGUGGCAGCGGCUGCCCGCCCCGGCCUGACCCGCUGGUACCUGCCCAUGGUUCGGGCCCACCCACCGCGUGCCCCGCGCAGCCUCGGGCAGAAGCCAGGGCAGAGCACAGGCAUCACCCUGGUCCCUUGUGGCUGCCUCCUGUGGUUGUCGGUGUUUUGACUAAUUCAGGGGAAGGGGACUCUGUGCAGCCAUAGACGAUUCCGCUGUUCCUGGCCUACAGUCUAGGCCCUCUGCUUUCCCGGACGGGGAGAACGGGUUUGCCCUGACGGAGGCGGCUCUGGGCCUGUGGUUCAGCCCAGGUGCCUGCAGCAGAGAGCGCAAGCAGAGAGGCCCGCCACAAGCUCUGAAGUGUUUAACUACUGGGUUGGCCCCCAUCUUGCCUUUGUGUCUCUUUAUAAAGAUGAAAGGGGUUUUAGAUCUUUGCAGGCUGUGUGUGUGUGUGUGUGUGUGUGUGUGUGUGUGUGUGUGUACAUGCAGGAGGCCCAGAGCUCUUCCCUUCCCCAAUGCCUCCCCCCCCAGCCCUGCCCAGCUGGGGCCCAGGCAUUGUGUCCAGUACCGCCCCAGCCACAGGGGACCAGGGUGGGAGACAGCCUGGGAUUUCAAUGUGUGGGGGCCAGAAGCCCUCAAGCCAGGACGUGAGUGAGAGGGAGCCCAAUGGGGACUGAGGAGGUAGGGAGCUGGCCUUUCUGUGGCCAUAGAAAGCCCUAGGCGUCCUUGCCCUCCCCGGAGAAGCCAGGUCAUCUUUAUGAGCUAGUCUGUUCUCCAGGGGAUCACCAGGAAGGUGGCGCCCAGCAGCCUGUUUCAUUCCAUCCAUCCCCAGCUCAUGUGUGAGAGGGGAAGCAGGGUGGUGGCGGAAGCACGGCUUUGUCUCCACUUUGUUUGCCUUCAUAUUUUCUUUCUGGUUCCUGCUCAUCCCCUCAGAUACCCUCCCCAUCGAGGCAGCAUGUUUGCUGCUGUUGGAGCCUGCCCAUGCUGCCCAUCCACUACUCUGCUGGGAGGCCGGGGGUGUAGAGGACACAGGGUGGAGGGAGAGAGGGGGUACAAGCCUGGGGAGCCUCGGCAUCCCCCCCCCUGACGUGGGUGUUCAUGUUCCUUCCCAGCUGGUGCUCCUGUGGGCGAGAUGGGGCCCAGAGGUGGAGGGAGAUUCAGGGAAAUACUAGCUCGAGCCUAGCCAGCGUGUGGUGGUAGAUGAGGGCUGCUUCACUGUGGGAAAUGGUCACCUCUGUGUUUCCGCUGUUCACAUGUGAUUUCAGGUCCAGAAACGCCAGGUGGGAAUCUGGGGACCAAGGGAGACGCUUUGGUGCACGCUCGCUGUAGGAAACGCAUCCUUCCCUAGAACGGAGGACUUGUGCGAUACCUUCUUUUGAAAAGGGUGUGUCUCCAGAGCACAGGAUGUGAGCGCACUGGUGGGUCCCCAGGAUGCAUGGGUCCAUGGAGCAUGGAGCAGGCCACCUGUUUGGUCUCUGCCGGCCACUUCGGGGGAUGUCAGGACAAGCCUUCCUGGCCCCGGGAGUCAUGGGGUAACAGAGCUCAGGCAACUCACUGUGAUAAAAGAGCAGGAUGGGGUGAACCAGGUGGAGGGCAGGGUCUGGAGCUGUGGGCCUAGCAUGGCCUCUGGCUCCCCUGUUCUUUUCCUGUGAGACCUUGAGUGAUUUUUCCACCUCUCAGCUCCAGGGACCGCUGUACUGCUGAGCUGAGCUAACUACAGAGGGAGGCGGGCAGCGGGCAGCAGGGCGGGGAGGGGGGGGGAGUUCCUGCUAUGGGACCUCUCUGGCGAUGCCAUCUGCACAAGGCACCAGGCUUAGCUGUACUCAGAAGGGCUUAAUACAGAUGCCAUCUGCUCCAGCCCGCCCCCCACCCCAACUCCGGCUUGGUCUCCUCCCUUUCAAGAAAGAAGGAUCUGUCUCAGGAGUUAGGGGUGGAGAGAGAUGGGGAAGGCCCUUGGAGGCAGUUUCUGAGGUGUGCUUGCUGUGAGGACCAUUGAGUAGGGUUUGGGUUGUGUGGUGUGGACACGGUGCAGGGAAUUUGGGGCCGUGUAGGAGGUGUUUGGGGGCAGUCAGUAAUCUGAAGUAGCCAGGGCAGGUGGGAAGGGAACGGAGGGGACCCCCAAGGCUUGGUGGGACCAGGCCCUGAACAUCAGUCUUAAAGCUCUGACCUGUGUCACAUGGAAAUUAGAAACCAGUGAGAUGGAGAAAGGAGAAUUCCAGGGAGGAGGAGGCCACCUGGGGUGGCUGGGCGUUAGGGAGGGCUCAAAGGAGCCGAUUCCAAAGGCUCAUGCCAGCCAGGAUGGGGAGCCCCCGGCUUCGGUGCAGAGGAAAGGCUGCCUCAGAGGUAGCUGGGGAUCAGAGUGGGGCGAGGAGGCUGCGUUGGGCUUCGAGACUGUGUUGUUCUCUGAGGGCUGCUUUGACAAAACGCCAUAAACUGGGUCGUGAAACAACAGAAAGGACCCUCUCAAAAUUCUGGAGGCCCGAUCUGAAAUCAGAUUACCCUCAGGGCCACACUGCCUCUGAAUGUUCCAGGGGAGCUACUCCCUUGUCCUGUCCAGCGUGCCGUGGCUGUAGGCCUUCCAGGCUGUGGCAGCUUUGCUUCAGCCUCUGCCUCUGGCUUCCAUCACCUUCUCCUCUGUGUCUGUUUGCUCCUUUUCCGUCUCUUU